AUCUAACUGACGAGUCCCAAAUAGGACGAAACGUGCAUCCUGAAU
rnacentral:hammerhead_ribozyme from 1 species